rnacentral:rRNA from 1 species
UACAGGGGGUGCAACGUUGCUCGGAAUCAUUGGGCGUAAAGCGCACGUAGGCGGUUCGUUAUGUCGGAUGUGAAAGCCCUUGGCUUAACCGAGGAAGUGCAUCCGAAACUGGCGAGCUAGAGUACUAAAGAGGAUCGCGGAAUUCCCGGUGUAGAGGUGAAAUUCGUAGAUAUCGGGAGGAACACCGGUGGCGAAGGCGGCGAUCUGGGUAGAUACUGACGCUGAGGUGCGAAAGCGUGGGGAGCAACAGG